GUGAGUGUAUACGUGACUACACUCAAAAAAAUGGUUUUGUGCCACUGUUCAUUUUACCCAGGUAUUUAUUGUUAAAACAACACAAGUGUAUUUCUUUUUCCACCAAAACACUAUUGUAUUGUGCUCUAUUAAUUUAAACUGUUUAAGUUUCCAUUUUACUUGAUUAUCAAUCGUUAAACUAACGUAAACGGUUUAAUUUCGCCGUUAAAAAAAACCGGAUAUGACGUUUCCAACGCAUUUUAUGAAGACGGCGCGAAGGAGGUGUAUCAUGGCGUCGGAGCUAGAAGUACCAGUCAGCAUACAUUGAUCACUGGUUUCUUCAUCGCUGCCUAAUUUUGGCGAAAUGAAGGAAUGUCACAACUUUACUGACGGAGAAAAAAAGUUUUGGCUAAGAGGAAUGCACGCAGUUGUAAAUGUGAACUGGUGGAUGGUUAAGAAGCUGAUGUGUCUUCUAGAAAUCUAAACAAAUUUGUGCAGAAUAUGAGACAGGCAGAAUAACCAUAGGCCCAUUAGUGUCAACUGUCUUUGCCAAUGGGUGGAUCCACACUGCAAAACUUAUGAAGAUGAUUGCAAACCGAAGAACAGUCCUUGGACAAAGCAUUAAACCCUCUUGGUCCCCACUACACAGACUAAUGACGUUGAAGUACCCAAAUGAAGACACUAGCAGUGUUAUUAUGGAGUAUAUGGAUACAGACGUUGGCAGCACUCAGGAGGUGAUCCAGAGGAAUCAUGGGAAUCUAUGUCAUACGAUUUGAAGGUGCAGACAUUGAAGACAGCACAGCAGAUGUUGGAGUGUUGGAAGAUAAAGUUCUUCAGGACCUUAGCAGUAAACCCUAUGAAAAACAUGUUGCUGGGACUGAUAUAUGGACUAAACUUGAACUCCUGAAAUCAGGUACACAUUUGGAGUAUUGCAGAAGUUAUUUCUGGAGCCAGUUCCUGUUCCUGGAUUAAGGUUUGAUUGGUUACCUUUAUAUGCCAAUUAGAAAAUGACAGUAGUUUAAUAUUUCUGUAAUUUUGUAAUGUGGUUGUAACUGUAAUUGUUGCUCUUGUUUAACAAAUACACUUGAUAAUUUGUGA